rnacentral:rRNA from 1 species
GACGAACGCUGGCGGCGUGCCUAAUACAUGCAAGUCGAGCGCUGAAGGCUGGUACUUGUACCAACUGGAUGAGCCGAGCACGGGUGUGUAACGCGUGGGGCCUCCGCUUUUGUGCGGGGGACCAUCUUUGGACACGAACGCUUAUACCGCAUAAACACCUUCAACAUAAGUUUUAAGUUUGAAAGACGCCAUUGCAUCACUCAAUGACGAUCUCGCGUUGUAUUAGCUAGUUGGUGAGGUAAAGGCUCACCAAGGCGAGGAUACAGAGCCGACCUGAGAGGGUGGUCGGCCACAUUGAGACGGAGACAGGGCCCAAACGCCUACGGGAGGCAGCAGGAGGGAAACUGCGGCAAUGGACGAAAGUCUGACCGAGCAGCGCCGCGUGAGUGAGGAGGAUCUUCGGAUCGUAGAACUCUGUUGGUAGGGAAUAACGUUGGUGAGAGUGUAAAGCUCAGCAAGUGACGGUAACUAGCCAAGAAGGGACGGCUAACUACGUG